rnacentral:rRNA from 1 species
AUUGAACGCUGGCGGCAGGCCUAACACAUGCAAGUCGAGCGGUUGAGGUAGCUUGCUACCGAUGCAGCGGCGGACGGGUGAGUAAUACAUGGGAAUCUGCCUGGUAGUGGGGGACAACGUUUCGAAAGGAACGCUAAUACCGCACACGCCCUACGGGGGAAAGGGGGGGAUCUUCGGACCUCUCGCUAUCAGAUGAGCCCAUGUCGGAUUAGCUUGUCGGUGAGGUAAAGGCUCACCAAGGCGACGAUCCGUAACUGGUCUGAGAGGAUGAUCAGUCACACUGGAACUGAGACACGGUCCAGACUCCUACGGGAGUCAGCAGUGGGGAAUAUUGGACAAUGGGCGCAAGCCUGAUCCAGCCAUGCCGCGUGUGUGAAGAAGGCCUUAGGGUUGUAAAGCACUUUCAGUGGGGAGAAAGGUCAUUCACCUAAUACGUGAGUGAAUUGAUGUUACCCACAGAAGAAGCACCGGCUAACUCCGUGCCAGCAGCCGCCGUAA